rnacentral:rRNA from 1 species
CCUACGGGGGGCAGCAGUGGGGGAUAUUGCGCAAUGGGGGGAACCCUGACGCAGCGACGCCGCGUGAGCGAAGAAGGCCUUCGGGUCGUAAAGCUCUGUCUUUGGGGAAGAAUAAGAUGACGGUACCCAAGGAGGAAGCCCCGGCUAACUACGUGCCAGCAGCCGCGGUAACACGUAGGGGGCGAGCGUUGUCCGGAAUUACUGGGCGUAAAGGGUGCGUAGGCGGCCUUAUAAGUCAUGUGUGAAAAACCCGGGCUCAACCCGGGUAUUGCAAGUGAAACUAUAGGGCUUGAGUGCAGGAGAGGGAAGUGGAAUUCCUAGUGUAGCGGUGAAAUGCGUAGAGAUUAGGAGGAACACCAGUGGCGAAGGCGGCUUCCUGGACUGCAACUGACGCUGAGGCACGAAAGCGUGGGGAGCAAACAGGAUUAGAUACCCUUGUAGUC